AACGCACCUUGCGCUCCUUGGUAUUCCGAGGAGCAUGCCUGUUUGAGUGUCAUUAAAUUCUCAACCCCGAUCGGAUUUGCUUUCGAUUCGGAGGCUUGGAUUGUGGAGCGUGCUGGCCCCUCCCCGGGUCGGCUCCUCUCAAAUGCAUUCGCGGAAUUGACUUUGGUCCGUUUCGGUCAUCAGUGUGAUAAUCAUGUUGCGCUGUUGGCUAGGAUCGAGGUGCCGCAUACAAUGGUCUUCGGACAACUUCAUAUCAAUUUGACCUCAAAUCAGGUAGGACUACCCGCUGAACUUAAGCAUAUCAAUAAGCGGAGGAA
rnacentral:rRNA from 1 species